rnacentral:rRNA from 1 species
GACGUAGGGCGCGAGCGUUGUCCGGAUUUAUUGGGCGUAAAGAGCUCGUAGGCGGCUUGUCGCGUCGACUGUGAAAUCCCGCGGCUCAACCUCGGGUCUGCAGUCGAUACGGGCGGACUGGAGUUCGGCAGGGGAGACUGGAAUUCCUGGUGUAGCGGUGAAAUGCGCAGAUAUCAGGAGGAACACCGGUGGCGAAGGCGGGUCUCUGGGCCGUAACUGACGCUGGAGGAGCGAAAGCAUGGGGAGCGAACAGG